rnacentral:lncRNA from 1 species
GAGGGAACCAGUGUGAGAGCUCAGCAGCCAGCCAGCCUGAUGAAGGGAGGCCCGCGCCGAACAGAAACAGUACCUUUAUUCCUGCAAGCUAAGUCUUCUAUAGCCGCUUUAUAAAGAUGCAGUUUCUAAGCAAUGCCAGGCUCACACUGCGGCUAUGAUGGUUUAUGCUACAAAAGGCCUGUUAGAAAGUGGGGGAAAAUUGCUGGUCUCACAAAGAUCAUUUCAGCUCUAUCCGGGCCCACUGGACAGCUAACACCAGCAGAAUCAUUUUGGACCAAGAGGGUCAGCAAGAUGGUGCGUUACUGGGAACUGCAGUUAUGUCUUACCAGCCAGAGGAUAAAAUCAAAAUACAGGGAAAACAGAAUCAUACACAAGUGGAC